rnacentral:rRNA from 1 species
AACGAACGCUGGCGGCAGGCUUAACACAUGCAAGUCGAGCGCCCCGCAAGGGGAGCGGCAGACGGGUGAGUAACGCGUGGGAAUCUACCCAUCUCUACGGAAUAACGCAUGGAAACGUGUGCUAAUACCGUAUACGUCCUUCGGGAGAAAGAUUUAUCGGAGAUGGAUGAGCCCGCGUUGGAUUAGCUAGUUGGUGGGGUAAAGGCCUACCAAGGCGACGAUCCAUAGCUGGUCUGAGAGGAUGAUCAGCCACACUGGGACUGAGACACGGCCCAGACUCCUGCGGGAGGCAGCAGUGGGGAAUAUUGGACAAUGGGCGCAAGCCUGAUCCAGCCAUGCCGCGUGAGUGAUGAAGGCCCUAGGGUUGUAAAGCUCUCUCACCGGUGAAGAUAAUGACGGUAACCGGAGAAGAAGCCCCGGCCAACUUCGUGCCAGCCGCCGCCGUAACAC